UACGGAGGGUGCAAGCGUUGCUCGGAAUUAUUGGGCGUAAAGGGCAGGUAGGUGGUCUCAUUUGUCCGGGGUGAAAUCCUUGGGCUUAACUUAAGAAGUGCCCCGGAGACGGUGAGACUGGAGUUUUGGAGAGGGUCGUGGAAUUCCCGGUGUAGCGGUGAAAUGCGUAGAGAUCGGGAGGAACACCAGAGGCGACAGCGGCGACCUAGACAAUACCUGACACUCAACUGCGAAAGCGUGGGGAGCAAACAGG
rnacentral:rRNA from 1 species